CCGGCGGGGGCCGACGUGCUGCCGGCGGAGGGUCCCGCCGCGGGAACUCUGUCGUCAAAGGGAAGUUCUGUGAGGGAACAAGUGCCUCAGUCCCAAACUCGGACCUUCAGAGCUGUCUUUAGCUGCUGCUCCACAUGGAAGCUUCCGCUGCCCUCUGAGAUGCUUCCAUAGCUGUUUGAACUGCACAAGGCUCGGCAGCAGAACUCAAUGCUGGCCUGCAGGCUAUGCUGGGAUCAGGCACCGUGUGUCUGCCGUGGCCUGAGGUGCAGCGCCCCUUAGGAAGCUCGGUUCGGUGAAGCCCUGCUUUCUCCAGCCUUGCAGCGGUGCGGGGGCAGCGGGAAGGAGCACGCUGUGCCAGGGCAGAUGUUCAGCAAGAUUCCCUUGGCACCAGCCAGCAGUGCCCCAGGCCCUGGGCAGCCCCUGAAGCAGUUCCUGUGCUGUGGUGGGCCUGGUCCUGAUCUGAACCGUGUACAUCACGUUGGUGAUCAGCUCAGAUGAACAACUUCUGCAGCCAAGCAAGUUCAUCAUCAGUAUAAAUGAUCUGUAGGAAAUCUGUAGAUAUUCCAGUUUUUUUAAGUGUAUUUCUUGUUGAGAAUGCUGUCUUCUGUGUGCUGGAAGCCUGUGGCAGCUCUUGAAUGAAACAGGUUUUUAGCCAGAGGUCACUUCCUUUUUGGAAAAUAGUGUUUUGCCUGUGUAGAAUUGCCCUGUGGUUUAUGCUGAAUGUGUUUGUUAUUCAACAUUAUCUGCCAUAAUAUGUUCUGUAGUGUUUAAAGGUUGUUGCCUUUUUCCUGCUGGGGGCUGCGUUUUGGCGAUGGGUGAAGUGAUGCUUGUAAUAGGUAGUUUUGUAUCGUUUUGUCAGGUACUGCAGGAUUGUUACAUGAAAAACUAUGUAUGUGUCAUUUACUAUUAUGUGUGCCUCUCAUGUUUUGGAAUUUAACAGACAUAAUAUCUGCCCUCAUGUCACCAUCAUCGCAUUCAUUUUUGUAGUAAUAAUCAAAGGUGGCAACAAUGGCAUUCAGAUGUUUAAUUACAUUUCAUAUAGGUGACCAGUGUUAACUUAUUAAAUUAAUGCGUGGUGGAGCGGGAGCAAGUGUCACCACUUCCCUCUGUGCUUAGGAAGACAUCAGCUUGCUCCUCGCAUAUCAAAAUCAGUAUAUAGUCAGCCAUAUGGCACCCGAGAGUGUUUAUUAAAGGAAUGUUUCUCCGAACAUUCUGUGUACUUUAUUUCUUAUUUCACUUCAUGUGGAUCUAAAAUAUUUUUUCCAUCUCUCGGAAAUUAAAACAUUGAACAACA
rnacentral:lncRNA from 1 species